rnacentral:pre_miRNA from 1 species
GUCAAACUCGCCUUCCGUUUUUUGGCACUAGCACAUUUUUGUGUUUCGAUGCUACGACAAAAAUUGUGGUAGUGUCAAGCAAUAGGAAGAGUCUGCAAUGC